GACUACUCGGGUAUCUAAUCCUGUUUGCUCCCCACGCUUUCGCACCUCAGCGUCAAUACUUGUCCAGUCAGUCGCCUUCGCCACUGGUGUUCUUCCGAAUAUCUACGAAUUUCACCUCUACACUCGGAAUUCCACUGACCUCUCCAAGAUUCAAGUUUUCCAGUUUCAAAGGCAGUUCCAGUGUUGAGCACUGGGCUUUCACCUCUGACUUAAAAAACCGCCUACGCGCGCUUUACGCCCAGUAAUUCCGAACAACGCUAGCUCCCUCCGUAUUACCGCGGCUGCUGGCACGGAGUUAGCCGGAGCUUAUUCUCCCGGUACUGUCAUUAUCAUCCCGGGUAAAAGAGCUUUACAACCCUAAGGCCUUCAUCACUCACGCGGCAUUGCUGGAUCAGGCUUUCGCCCAUUGUCCAAUAUUCCCCACUGCAGCCCCCCGUAGG
rnacentral:rRNA from 1 species